rnacentral:misc_RNA from 1 species
GAUGAAGAACGUAGCGAAAUGCGAUACGUAAUGUGAAUUGCAGAAUUCAGUGAAUCAUCGAGUCUUUGAACGCACAUUGCGCCCCCUGGUAUUCCGGGGGGCAUGCCUGUUCGAGCGUCAUUUCACCACUCAAGCCUGGCUUGGUGUUGGGCGACGUCCUCUUUGGGGACGCGCCUCGAAACGCUCGGCGGCGUGGCACCGGCUUUAAGCGUAGCAGAAUCUUUCGCUUUGGAAGUCGGGGCCCCGUCUGCCGGAAGACCUGCUCGCAAGGUUGACCUCGGAUCAGGCAGGGAUACCCGCUGAACUUAAGCAUAUCAAUAAGCGGAGGA